ACAAAAGAAUGGCACAAAUUUACAUUGAUAAAGUGUAAGAUAACAGAUAGUCAGUAUCUAACUUGUUUUGUGUUUUUUUUAAAGGUAACUUUAUUACUUUUUUGUAGCAAAAUUUUUUAUAAUUAGAUUCAUUUUCAUGUUGUGAAGAAUACAACUUUCUACAUCAAAUGAGAUGUAUGUUAAGAAAAGCAUUAAAAAUAAGAAUAACAAAUCAUACUGCUCUUCAUUGCCAGAACCUCCGCCACCUAUUAUGAAUAAGCCCAAUGCUAAAAAGUUGUUAUCAGAUUCAAAGAUUGAAAAAAAUAAUUUUUCUUCACAUUUUAUUGAUGAACAGAAUAAAACCAAGCAAAGUUCACAUUGUCAAAGAGUUUCAAGUUUUAAUAUGAGUAUUUUUGGUUUUUA